rnacentral:lncRNA from 1 species
AACAACAACCCAACUGCUCUUCACAUAUAAGCAGAUAUGCCCGGCUUGUAAGGCAGGGGUGGGGAGCUUUUCCGAAGCUCUACGAUUAUGGUCUGUUCCAGUCAACCUUCUGAGGGCCACAUGGUAGUGGUGGGCAGGACCAGAGGCAAAAGUAGUCACAGCAAAAGUGUUGUUUUUGCCUUUGUGGUGUAGGCUAGUUUCCACAUACUCUUCCACACCCCUCUCUCUCCUGCAUCCAGAGAAGCCAGCAGCAUUAUCAGAGUACAAGGAUGCACUAGCCAAACAAACACAUAUGGGGUCUGAAGAAGGGCUGGUGAGGAGUGGUGUGGUGACCUGGGGAAAGCUCAAAGGUCCAGACAGAGAGACCUGGCGGGCCGCAUUUGGCUCCCAGACUUGAGUCCAGCUACCUUACUUGAACAGUUUGUUGCUGGCUAUAUCUUUGAGUUCAAGUAAUCAUUUCGUGCCGUCAACCAGACCUGAACCCAGUUUGGAAAGAUCACUAGGACCACAGCAAGAAUGUGGAUUGAAGGAGGCUUGUGGGAGAUAAACAGAGCUCAGAUCUGAUGGGUCUUUCCCAGUCAUCGGGAACAACUAAGGCAGCCAUUAUCCUACAAGAGAAAGCUAAGGUGCUUGAUCUGAGGUGCAUUAACAUGGGAGUGAAAUCUCGGUGUGUUAGAAUUCUAUCUUAUAUAUUUGACCUUUCAUGUGUUCCACCAUGGUUCUGGGAAGGAAACAGAAGGAGGUGUUUUACAGUUAACAGUGCUAACAGUUAAAAUGCGCCGGAGCGUCUUGGACGGAUGCUGCGCGAUCCAGCCGGCCGCUGAGCUUCCCCCUGGAGUUUUCCAAAGAAGCAGACUUGAAAUAGUUUCCAGAGCAGGUAAGAAGCGAUGCUUAAAUACUCAACCCCCCCUCUCCACCUCCUCGCUUGCUCGAGCCCCCCCUCUUCGCUCUGCCUUUUUUU